UAAGAACAAUAUACUCCCGAAACGCUUAUAGCUUGUAUAGUCUGUAUACUGAAAACUACUGUGUUUUACAAAAUAUCUCAACUGCUAGCCGACAAACGAUGAAACAGCAAUUUGGAACUGACAUCUUACGAGUAUCUUACUAAGAAGUGAUAAUUGGUUGAAAUUCUAAAUGAAAAUUCAUAUCCAAACAUACUCUGUCAUUUCUUUAUCAAUUUUUGGUAACAAGCGCUAUCAUCCUGCACUCGUUUCGUGUUGUCCAGCUCUGUGUAAUAAUGUUUUAUUCGUACUCACAAGAAGGAAAGAAAAUUAGUUGUUUACAUAUGUUGUAUAUAUAAGUUAGAGCACUGGCUGCACAAAAUAACCAUAAGGGCUAGAAAGAGGGUGCAGCCAAUAAGGACUGGGGAAAAUAUAAAUAUAAAACUAGCUCACAGAACAGCUGUCUCCAGUAGAAUAUAUACGUUGGAGAGAGCUGCACGCAAAAUAACCUCAUUACAAUGUUCAUAUUUACAUCAAAUAAUAAAGUUAAUUCUUGUUACAAUUCUCAAUAUUUCUGGAUCAU